AACAAUAGAGGACAAAUGGUACUAUUAUUUUAGAAAGUUAUACAUCUUUACAAAUUAUAUAAUACAUUAGGUACCAAAUGAUAAAUAACCUUAACUGCAUCACAUCUUUUUCUUCUUCAUUACAUUUGCGCCACUUACUUCUAUUUCUUCUUCUCCUUCGUAAUCCAUGCGGCAGCCGUUUUUAAAUAGCCAUAAAAGCUUUAUUUUUCGCCAUCGAUUUUACAAUCAAGAUCGAAAGUACAACGAAGCGGCAGGAAACCCAGAUCGAAAAUAGAUUAGAAACCCAAAUCAAAAGCAGAACGAAGCGGCUCCGACGGCUCCUGGUGAUGCCGGUCCUCGUCCGAAGAAAUAUAAUCCUUCCUCCCACUCUUUCUCAUCGACGGACGCCGAUGAUGACUGUGAUCUUCGAUUUGGAAACUGCUCGUGAUGGAUGCGACGACGAACCGAACUGAGAGGAGUUAAAACUCCAUCUGGCCCCUAGUAAAAUCGAUUUUUUUUUUGUUUUGGACCGAACUGCGGUAUGAUUAUUCCCGGGCGGUUUGACCGUGAUAGGACGGUUGAACCGGAAAAUUCAGAAAAAAUCGUUUUUCAUCAAAUCGGUUAUACCGGACUGGCUAGUUGACCGGUACGUGAUUCGGUCGGUUCAACCAGCCGGUUCUGUACGAUUUUGAAAUCAUUACAAAAAUAUUGAACUUGAGUUUGAUUCGUCAAUACUAAUUUACGAGUUAAACCCAAAUAGAUUGGAGCUUG
rnacentral:lncRNA from 1 species